GCUUAAUUUUAUUAAGAUUUAUGGGAAAGUCAACCCUCUGAUCACAAGGGUUCAUAGCAAGACAUAAAUCAUUCCGAGCAUCAAGGGGCAAUUGUCAAAUGUGUAGAGAAGCAUUGCAUGGAUUUGUGUUUGCUUGGAUUUCUAUUUUCUACUUAUGAUGUCUCUUCAUCAAUAAUAAUUCGUGAUGAUUACAUCAUGUUAGCAGAUUGCUGUAAUGACAAAAUACACUCCGUACUUAACCCUGAUCUGUAAAAAUUAUGAAAAA
rnacentral:misc_RNA from 1 species